AGUGAAUCCCAAAACUCUGCUACAGAUGGACGCACACUUUUCCUACAUAGCUCCCAAAUCUGGUUUUGCUCCCAGAUACUCUGAUUUCUUUGUCGUGUUGACCCACUCAGGCAUCGGGACAUCACAACCCUCCAGCUGAUUCUAAUAUGCAGUGAGAACUGCCUGAUGCUUCCUUAACCUCCAUCUCUCCAGGAACAAGUGCAUAACAAUGGGAAGGGGGGACCAGGGAUUGGACGGAGCAAAACCCUCCUCCGCUGGUCAAGAAUUCCCUGCAUACUCCAGUUGCUGAGGACGAGAAAAGGGACGUUACAGUCUUCAAUAACUCGCUUUUUUACUCCCCUCAUCCCCAACACUUUCUGCUGAUCUAUUUGGGGGUCUUUGGGAGCACCUUCAAAGACGCUGGGAAAGCAAACAUUGGAGAGGGGGCUGCAGAUGUGCCCAUAUCCAUAGGUACAAAAGAGUCAAUCUACACUCUUCCAGCCCCAGGCCCAGCCCUGGACGGGGAUCCCGGUCACAUCCCGGCUCCACAGCUCAAGGUUCCCUCUGUCUUUCUGGGCCGGUUUGGACAAGACGCCUCCCAGCGAUUGCUUUGUAAACAGAAGCGCAAACCCGUUCCGAUAGUGGUUCUGCACCAGUGCUGGGCAGCCGCCCUGGCACAGCGGGCAGCUGAGACAGCUGCUGCACCUGUCACCUAGGGCCGGAAGGGCCAGGAGGUCGCUCUUGGAGUGGACCCACUGACCAAUGACGCGCUCCUCCAGCCUCCAGGGUGUUCUUAGGUACUGGGCCUCUGGGCUUCCCCGAUUGCUACGCACCUCCGGCCUGUACCCAGCGCUGUCAAUUGAAAACGUGCAUUCUGGAGAGCCACAGUGGGACCCCUAAUGCACACCCUUCCUUCUUCACCUUCUCCCUGGACACCUUUGCUAAGAGAUUUGGCUCAUUUCUUUUCCCGUAGUUGCUGGUAAUUCUACUGGUAAUUCCUUUGGUCUAAUCCAAUUCGAGAUUCAAGAGGGCUUCUGUGCCAUCGAGGAAUCGGUCUGAUUGAAGACCCAAAAUCCCAGGGUGGUAAGAUGCCACUCAACUUCCCUCAUCUUGUCGUUUGAGUAGCCCAACUUUCCUUCUUCCUGGCCCUGACCCUGAGGGCCAGUUUACUACUCCAAGGGGGACCAACAAGGAACUAGAGUUUGAGUUAGGUUUGCUCCGCCAAGGGCAGGGAAGACCAGCCACUGUAGGAGAUGGGGGAAGAGGAGAGACCGGCAGCAAGAGGCCACUCAACCUGCCCAGGGAUCUUCAGCUCCCCAGGGGGAGAGCAAAAAGCUGAGGUCAUCACCCCAGUGAACUCAUUGCUCAGACUUGGGUCCAGAUAUUCAAGUACCUUUAAGGAACGUUGGGCGAAAUCGCUGGGGGUAUAGUGCUUGAUGGUAAGUGAAGGGGUGGAGUGAAAACGUGGCUCAAACAGGGCUUAACCCUAAGGCAGUGGUUAUUCCCUCAGCAAUUUGGGGUUGAUGACGCCGGCAUUUCUGACACCACAGGCCUCAGAGAGCCUGAGCUCAGCAUUACCUGAAGCUGGGAGCUCUGCUAAACUAGACACUAGGUCAUCCCGCCCCUCCCCGAAGCUCAGACUUCCCGUACUGAGUGGCGCACAGAAAAGUUUUCAAUACGGCCCAGUGUCCCAGGCCUGUUAGCUACUGAACCUGCUUCGUGGUGGCAGCGCCAGAAGUGGCUGGGGAACUCCUGCAGUUCUCCGUCUCCCAUCCCAGGAGAUGUCUGGGAUCUCUGAUCUCUGACUCAAAGGAUCCCCGAGCCCGCACUUCCCGAGGCCUUUUGGGUGUUGAGGUGGAUGGCCAAGUGCAGUUAGUGGCCUCGGGUCUGCCCGCACUGGGCGCAGCUGGCUAUCCAGAAUGGCUGCCAGGAACCUGGAGAGCUGAGGAAGCUGGGAGGCAUUCCCCCUCCCCGCCAAUCGUGGCACCCCCGAAGGUGGCGCCGUCUCGCUGCUGCGGAGCUGCGGAGAAGGUCCGGGUGGGGAAAGGCUCUGAGCCAUGCAGCGGUGUUUGAGGAACGAAGGGAGGACGAAGAUCUGGCAGGACUGGGGUUCUGAGGAGGAAAUCGCAGAAGGUGCAGAUGACCAGUUCCCGGCAGCGGUGUGUCUAAGAAGGGGCAGUGGGGUUUACAUCAUCUUGAAUAGAACAGGUCUGGGCGCUGUGAACUCUUCUUGGACGGGGGCAGUGUAGACCGUCCUGGACAAGUUCUCCGCAGUGUUACUUGAUCGCGUAUUGUUGGCCCGGCGCUGUGCUAAGACUUUUGCUCACAUUCUCCUAUUGAAUUCCCACCAAUUGUCCACAUUACAAAUCAGGAAACGGGUCAGACAAGGUCAGUAACUUCCUCGGGAUCACACAGCCAGUACAUGUAGAUAUCAGAGUUGAAUGUGGACCCCAAGUGAUCUCACUGCAAAGCUGAAUUCUAGCUCCGGCAUUCCACCUCCCUCCACUCUCUCCCACGUAG
rnacentral:lncRNA from 1 species